UACAGAGGGUGCGAGCGUUAAUCGGAAUUACUGGGCGUAAAGGGCGCGUAGGCGGUUAGUGACGUGCGAUGUGAAAGCCCCGGGCUUAACCUGGGAAGUGCAUCGCAAACGAAGUAGCUAGAGUAUAGGAGAGGGUGGCGGAAUUUCCGGUGUAGCGGUGAAAUGCGUAGAUAUCGGAAGGAACGUCGAUGGCGAAGGCAGCCACCUGGCCUAAUACUGACGCUGAGGCGCGAAAGCGUGGGUAGCGAACAGG
rnacentral:rRNA from 1 species